CACUUUCUAUAUGUGGGGAAUUCAGUACAAGUGCAUCUAAAAAAUGCAAUAGAAGAGUGUGGUUCUGAAGUUCACUAUUUUAUGAGGAAGGUAGUGAAAAUUAUUUCUCUUAUUUUCUGCAGUUGGAAGGUGAAGAACUUCCACGUAAAUUUGAUUAGCAAAAUUCCUUAAUACAUGGCUGUAUUUUCUGCAGUUGGAAGGCGAAGAAAUUGCAGGCAGACCGCUGGCACUGAACUUCACUCACAUCAUGGAAGCAAUGUGUCGGGAGUCCAUGGCUUCAGCGAGUCUCUCACGCCCAGGUCAGCCUGCCGCGCGUCCCACGACCACUGCC